rnacentral:hammerhead_ribozyme from 1 species
CACCAUCGGUGCACUGUGCUGAUGAGCCCCAAAAAGGGCGAAACAGCUAGCUGUCCACAGUUGCCGUUGUUUAAGCUU